rnacentral:tRNA from 1 species
CAAGACGUAGCUGUAACAAAAGCAUUCAGCUUACACCUGAAAGAUAUCUGCAACACUACACAAAUCGCCUUGA